AAAUUUUUAUGGGCCAGGAACCGGGCCGUUACAAUCCUCCCCCGUUAAUCGGAAUUCGUCCCCGAAUUCCAAAGCCCACAUCUUUCAGACCAAUCGUUCGUUACCAAAAUGGAUUCACACAUUCACACAACAAUCAAGGGAGGCAUACAUGACACGAUAACUCUACUGGAAUCUUUAAAACCAACGAAGGAAUGUCAUAAAUAAUAAAAGGAGUAGGACUACAAUAGUUUGUAAAAGAAAACCCAGCACAUCUGCACAAUACAGAAUGCCGUAAAUAAGGGAAGGAACACCAACUCCAAUAACCAAUAAAUGAAAUAAAACCAAUAGCGAAACACGUGUCCUACUCCUACGAAUCGUCUCUAGGAUCUCGUCUAGCCACAUUGACAUGGCGAGGGGCAGCGGGACUCGGAUCCCAGGUCUUCAUCGCCCUCUGCGACGCGGUCCUCCUCGGCCUCCGCCUCCUUUCCCGCCAACCACUCCUCCGCGUGCAGUGCUUGGUUAGCCAUCCUUCUCACCAGUGCAAAUUCCAGAGGCUCCAGGACUCCCACGAGUUCUUCACGAAUAUCCCCACGUAGCCCGGCCCUAAACAGAUGACACCACUCCUCAGCUGGCUUCGGUUGACACAUCUUGGCCGUAUCCAAGAACUCCUCCAGGUAAUCUCUCACCUUGCGUGGCUUCUGAACCAUCUGGACCAGUACGUCACAAUCACAUGUUACUGUAGGUGGUUUUCGCGGACGCCCCCGCUUUCCCUUAGCGGGUGUCCCUACCGGCACCUCAUGGCCAUCGACGUCCCCACCCGGGUUUCCUCCUUCCAUGCUCGAGAGAGCGGCCACAUCGGCUGCAAUCUUCUCUUCUGCCUCCAUGGCGAAGCCUGCCAUCCGCCUCACUAACGCGAACUCCAAGGGCUCCAAAACACCCCUCAACUGCGCCUGGAGCUCCUGGCGUAGCCCGUUCUUAUACCAUAUGCACCACGUCUCUGCAUUCUUCGGUUUGCACAGCUUGGCUUGGUUGAUGAAGUCCUCCGUGUAUCCAGCGACUGAUCGGUCCUCCUGAGCAUUCUUGCUCAGCACUCCACACUGGCACUUCCCGGUGAACGCCCUUGGGGGUCCCCCUGCUGCACUUGGCGUCUUGCAGGGACGGCCACGCUUCCUCGGGGGUCCCUCUUCGGUUGCAAGCUGGAACCUCGCAUUGCCCUGCAGUAGGCGUGUCUCCAUAGCCAUCCUCUGGAAAUGAGGCAUCAACACCUUAUGCCUCACAGUCUGCUCGUGCGGGUACCUGAAUGGGAACUCCCUGUACUGUUCUUCAGGAUCCGGAAACAUGGGUAGCACCAAGUUACCCUCCCUGUCAUAGUGACGCCUUUGGGCAUACUCCCUGGUGUUCCUCCGUCCGUAGUGCAUACGCGGCAUCCUCCACUCGUAAUGGUCAAGCGAAAACAUCCUGCAAUAAAAUUUCAAUCAGAACCAUAAUAGAAGUAUGGAUAUAGUGGGAUUUUCAAUUAAUUUUUCACAAUCCGAAAAUACUUAGUAAUAUUGCAAUUUUUUUUUUUUUUUUUUUUUUUUUUUUUUUUUUCCGAAAACGAAAUAUAAAUUUUUUUUUUUUUUUUUUUUUAAAACGUCGGAAAUGCCGAUCCCUUAGGCAGAACUAAGGGAUCUUAACCCGCUCUGAUACCAAUUGUAACAGCCCGAUCCCCCGGCGUCCGACCGGUUAUCGAAGGGGCGUUAUGGACACGUGUCUACUCAUUUAGACAACCCUACGUGUCCCGUUACUGGUCCCGAGAGACGAGCGCAUAACCUUCUUUGAAAAACGUCACACCCACAUCCAUAUACUUCUACUUACAGUCCUGCGCACAGGGAAAAUGGAAAUGGAGGGGUGAGCAACAAGUUACUCAGUGAAGUGGUUCUAGACCAGCCUGCCCGCAUGACACUCUAUACUACUCUAUGCGGGAACUAGGACUGACUAGCCACUACAAUCAGUUAAUGCAUUUUUAUCAUUUCCUAUCGUCAUCUGUAAUUUCCACAUUCACUUCCAUUCAUUUCUAACAACCUAGCGAUCAAUCAAUACAAUGAUCUCACUCAUUGCCACACACGUCAAACCCUAGACUUAACCGACUCAUCUUACCAGUCCGACUCGAUCCUAUGACACCUUUAACUUCCCGUUACCCGACCAUGAGCUAAAACCCUACAAUGCACAUCUUUUCAUCUUUUCAUCUUUUCCUCUUUUCCUCUUUUCCUCUUUUCCUCAGUGGGUAGCCCCCCACUAGGCUUCUACCCCAUAUUCAUGUGGAUUCGCCACAUCUCCUAUGGGUGCUUCCAUAUUCAUGUGGAUUCGCCACAUCUCCUAUGGAUACCUAGCGUGGACUACUUACCCCACCUACAAACCUUAGACUCUCUAUAUGCUUUCCCACCCAUGCUUAACCUUAACAUCGUUCUUUCAUACUUUUACUUAUCCUUUCACUUCCUUAUCGUCUUCACUUAAUCCCUCCCAUUCCCAAUUACUUUCCCUUUUCAUUCAUACUUGUACUUGGACUCAAUCACUAGACGCCACCCGUUAUCGGUGUCACACACAAUACACAUCGCAUUCAAGUUCUACUUCAAUAACAUUAUCAAUCAUUGCUCAUCUAUCAUCCUAGCAUCAUUUCUCUCUAGCAUCCUAACUUCAAUCACAACCACACAUGGGACUACACAUUCAAACAUACAAGCAUCACUCAUCAACCAAUCAACAUCACCACAACAUAGAUCAGUUCAUCAAGUCCCAUUUAUCAGUAUGAGGGUUCUUAUGCAUCAUGAUCCAUUCAUCUAUCAUCCUAGCAAUACCAUGUCCUAUCAACCUAACUCCCAAUCAGGGUCUAAUCAAACCUAACUCCAACAUAUAGGAGUAUACAGAACCAUGAAAGAAGGUUGGGUUCGAAACACUCCACCUUAGUCUUAGAUCUGGAUCUGGAAACGAGGAUUGAGAAGGUUGAGAUCUGGUCAGCACCACCACUUCACGGCGCCGGCGAGAGGGAGAGAGAGAGAGAGCGUGCGACGGCGAGGAGAGAGAGAGAGAGCGACGCGCGGGAGAGAGAGAGGAGAGAGAGAGACGGCGCAGGAGAGAAGGAGAGAGAGCUCGACGGCUAGGGUUUUCGACCUCCGGGAAUUCUCUGCAGAGCUUCGCUUCAGAUUUGUGAUGAGGCAAAAAGGGAGACUGCAUCUCUUUUUAUAGUAAAGGGAAGGGGAAGCCCUAGGGUUUUGCUAAAUGGGCCGUAGAGAAGCCCAUAUUCUUUGGGAAAUUUUUAUGGGCCAGGAACCGGGCCGUUACAAUCCUCCCCCGUUAAUCGGAAUUCGUCCCCGAAUUCCAAAGCCCACAUCUUUCAGACCAAUCGUUCGUUACCAAAAUGGAUUCACACAUUCACACAACAAUCAAGGGAGGCAUACAUGACACGAUAACUCUACUGGAAUCUUUAAAACCAACGAAGGAAUGUCAUAAAUAAUAAAAGGAGUAGGACUACAAUAGUUUGUAAAAGAAAACCCAGCACCUCUGCACAAUACAGAAUGCCGUAAAUAAGGGAAGGAACACCAACUCCAAUAACCAAUAAAUGAAAUAAAACCAAUAGCGAAACACGUGUCCUACUCCUACGAAUCGUCUCUAGGAUCUCGUCUAGCCACAUUGACAUGGCGAGGGGCAGCGGGACUCGGAUCCCAGGUCUUCAUCGCCCUCUGCGACGCGGUCCUCCUCGGCCUCCGCCUCCUUUCCCGCCAACCACUCCUCCGCGUGCAGUGCUUGGUUAGCCAUCCUUCUCACCAGUGCAAAUUCCAGAGGCUCCAGGACUCCCACGAGUUCUUCACGAAUAUCCCCACGUAGCCCGGCCCUAAACAGAUGACACCACUCCUCAGCUGGCUUCGGUUGACACAUCUUGGCCGUAUCCAAGAACUCCUCCAGGUAAUCUCUCACCUUGCGUGGCUUCUGAACCAUCUGGACCAGUACGUCACAAUCACAUGUUACUGUAGGUGGUUUUCGCGGACGCCCCCGCUUUCCCUUAGCGGGUGUCCCUACCGGCACCUCAUGGCCAUCGACGUCCCCACCCGGGUUUCCUCCUUCCAUGCUCGAGAGAGCGGCCACAUCGGCUGCAAUCUUCUCUUCUGCCUCCAUGGCGAAGCCUGCCAUCCGCCUCACUAACGCGAACUCCAAGGGCUCCAAAACACCCCUCAACUGCGCCUGGAGCUCCUGGCGUAGCCCGUUCUUAUACCAUAUGCACCACGUCUCUGCAUUCUUCGGUUUGCACAGCUUGGCUUGGUUGAUGAAGUCCUCCGUGUAUCCAGCGACUGAUCGGUCCUCCUGAGCAUUCUUGCUCAGCACUCCACACUGGCACUUCCCGGUGAACGCCCUUGGGGGUCCCCCUGCUGCACUUGGCGUCUUGCAGGGACGGCCACGCUUCCUCGGGGGUCCCUCUUCGGUUGCAAGC
rnacentral:lncRNA from 1 species